GGUGAACCAGCGGAGGGAUCAUUACUGAGUUUACGCUCUAUAACCCUUUGUGAACAUACCUAUAACUGUUGCUUCGGCGGGUAGGGUCUCCGUGACCCUCCCGGCCUCCCGCCCCCGGGCGGGUCGGCGCCCGCCGGAGGAUAACCAAACUCUGAUUUAACGACGUUUCUUCUGAGUGGUACAAGCAAAUAAUCAAAACUUUUAACAACGGAUCUCUUGGUUCUGGCAUCGAUGAAGAACGCAGCGAAAUGCGAUAAGUAAUGUGAAUUGCAGAAUUCAGUGAAUCAUCGAAUCUUUGAACGCACAUUGCGCCCGCCAGCAUUCUGGCGGGCAUGCCUGUUCGAGCGUCAUUUCAACCCUCAAGCUCUGCUUGGUGUUGGGGCCCUACAGCUGAUGUAGGCCCUCAAAGGUAGUGGCGGACCCUCCCGGAGCCUCCUUUGCGUAGUAACUUUACGUCUCGCACUGGGAUCCGGAGGGACUCUUGCCGUAAAACCCCCAAUUUUCCAAAGGUUGACCUCGGAUCAGGUAGGAAUACCCGCUGAACUUAAGCAUAUCAAUA
rnacentral:rRNA from 1 species